GGGGGGGCUUGUAGGCAUUUUGAAAAUUUGAGUAGCAGUGGAAAAUCCACCAGGGCUACUCCUGCCUCCAGAAGUUGAUCUAGAAGAGUUGUAGAAGAGUUGUAGAGACUACAGAAAGAUAGGCAGAGUGUUGAACCAUUUCAUUUGUUUAAGAGACGUCUGGAUACUGUGUAUCAGGAUUUUGUGGCCAUAUACACAGAUGGUUAAAAAAAAUCCAAGGACAGAGCGUACUGGGUCAGCAUUUGUAGUGCAGGAAUGUGGGGUGGCAGUCAGGAAACGUAUUACAGAUCAUCUGGCUGUAUAUACGGCAGAGCUGAUGGACAUACUGUUGGCCUUGCAGUGGGUGGAGGAAGUCAAGCCAGACAGAGUACAUUUUUACAUUUACGUCAUUUAGCAGACGCUCUUAUCCAGAGUGACUUACAAAUUGGUGCAUUCACCAAGUAGUUAUUUGCUCUGAUUUAUGUGCAGUGUUGAUGAGUCUCCAGUCAUUUAGCUCACGUAGCAGACAAGACCUGCUUUAUGAGGUGCUAUAAACCCAUGGAAGGAUGAGACAGAUGGGUAUACAGAUAACAUUUACUUGGGUCCCAGCCCAUGUGGGGGUGGAGGGGAAUGAGGCAGUUGAUGGACUGGCUAAACAAGCACUUAGAAGUGGGGAUGUUGACGUUGUAGUUUCAAUGAGCAAAGCAGAGGAAAACAGCCUGAUAUGGACAGUGAUGGUGUAGAGAUGGCAGGCUAAAAGCCUGAUAUGGACAGUGAUGGUGCAGAGAUGGCAGGCUAAAAGCCUGAUAUGGACAGUGAUGGUGCAGAGAUGGCAGGCUAAAUCCUGAUAUGGACAGUGAUGGUGCAGAGAUGGCAGGCUAAAUCCUGAUAUGGACAGUGAUGGUGCAGAGAUGGCAGGCUAAAUCCUGAUAUGGACAGUGAUGGUGCAGAGAUGGCAGGCUAAAAGCCUGAUAUGGACAGUGAUGGUGCAGAGAUGGCAGGCUAAAUCCUGAUAUGGACAGUGAUGGUGCAGAGAUGGCAGGCUAAAAGCCUGAUAUGGACAGUGAUGGUGCAGAGAUGGUAGGCUAAAUCCUGAUAUGGACAGUGAUGGUGUUAGAGAUGGCAGGCUAAAUCCUGAUAUGGACAGUGAUGGUGCAGAGAUGGCAGGCUAAAAUCCUGAUAUGGACAGUGAUGGUGUUAGAGAUGGCAGGCUAAAUCCUGAUAUGGACAGUGAUGGUGCAGAGAUGGCAGGCUAAAUCCUGAUAUGGACAGUGAUGGUGUAGAGAUGGCAGGCUAAAAGCCUGAUAUGGACAGUGAUGGUGCAGAGAUGGUAGGCUAAAUCCUGAUAUGGACAGUGAUGGUGUUAGAGAUGGCAGGCUAAAUCCUGAUAUGGACAGUGAUGGUGCAGAGAUGGCAGGCUAAAAUCCUGAUAUGGACAGUGAUGGUGCAGAGAUGGCAGGCUAAAUCCUGAUAUGGACAGUGAUGGUGCAGAGAUGGCAGGCUAAAUCCUGAUAUGGACAGUGAUGGUGCAGAGAUGGCAGGCUAAAUCCUGAUAUGGACAGUGAUGGUGCAGAGAUGGCAGGAGCAGGUUAAAAGCCUGAUAUGGACAGUGAUGGUGUAGAGAUGGCAGGCUAAAAGCCUGAUAUGGACAGUGAUGGUGCAGAGAUGGCAGGCUAAAUCCUGAUAUGGACAGUGAUGGUGUUAGAGAUGGCAGGCUAAAUCCUGAUAUGGACAGUGAUGGUGCAGAGAUGGCAGGCUAAAAUCCUGAUAUGGACAGUGAUGGUGCAGAGAUGACAGGAGCAGGCUAAAAGCCUGAUAUGGACAGUGAUGGUGCAGAGAUGACAGGAGCAGGCUAAAAGCCUGAUAUGGACAGUGAUGGUGCAGAGAUGGCAGGAGCAGGUUAAAAGCCUGAUAUGGACAGUGAAGGUGCAGAGAUGGCAGGAGCAGUGGAAUAGAGAUACUAAGGACAGGCAUUUAUUUCAAGUACAGAGUAAAGUCGGAGAGGGGAGGACGGCAGGAAGGGACAGAAGAGAGGAGGAUAUUUUUACAAGAUUAAGGGUGGGACACAGCCAGUUGAAUAAGUCCUUAAAUGUGAUAGGAAAGCAUCCAACAGGAAAGUGUGAUUAUUACCAGGAAACAGAGGCCGUGGAGCAUGUAUUGCUAUAGUGUGGGCAGUAUCAGAGGGAAAUAGAGAGGCUGAGAUCUAGUAUGAGGGAGAAGGGGAUACAAUAAAUUAUUUUAAAGAGUAUAUUAAUUAGCACAUCAUUAGAUAUAGUCUCAAAUAUGUAUUUUUUAUAUAUAUUUUUUAAAUGUAACAGGGCUGGCAAGUAGGGUUUAGUUUCUCCCUGUCUCUGGCCCACACUCCAGUACAGUAGGUGGCAGUAAUGCACCAUAACAUUGAAUGUCAACCGCCGAUAAACCCCAACGAAGAAGAAGAGCAGCAGUGGUCCAAUGUUUUACCAGCGCGAGUACUACAGUGAAUGUGUUGGUAGAACUUCGGUAGCAUUUUCCUCAAAUUUCAUUUGUUAAAAUCCCCAGCUACAAUAAAUAUGUGGUUUACAGUUUGCAUAAAGUCCAGUGUAGUUCUUUGAAGGCCGUCAUUGUAUCGGCUUGAGGGGGAAUAUACACAGCUGUGACUAUAACUGAAGAGAAUUAUCUUGAAAGUAAAUACGGUCGGCAUUUGAUUGUGUGGUAUUCUAGGUAGGGUGAACAAAAGGACUUGAGUUUCUACAUGUUAUCACAAUCACAACAUGAGUAGUUAAUCAUGAAACAUACCUCACCUCCUUUCUUCUUCCCAGAGAGUUCUUUAUUCCUGUCUGCGCGAUGUGCUGAGAACCCAGAUGGCUGAAUUGAUUCCGUAAAACAGAGUAUGUUACAAUCCCUGAUUCUUCUGCUAGCAACCUUCUGGUUGUCAGAUUUUUCCCCUCAGCCCUGGGAUCCGAACUGGCAACCCUUAAGUUACUGGCGUCAUCAGAUGUCUGAACUGGCAACCCUUCACUUACGGGCGCAUCAUCAGAGGUCAUUGAUAGGAACGCUCAUUUCAGAAGUCCCUCUGUUUCACCAGGUGGCGCUGCUAUAGUGCAAGAGAAUCUGUUUCACCAGGUGGUGCUGCUAUCGUACAAGAGAAUCUGUUUCACCAGGUGGUGCUGCUAUAUUACAAGAUAAUCUGUUUCACCAGGUGGCGCUGCUAUAUUACAAAAUAAUCUGUUUCACCAGGUGGUGCUGCUAUAGUACAAGAUAAUCUGUUUCACCAGAUGGUGCUGCUAAUUUACAAGAUAAUCUGUUUCACCAGGUGGUGCUGCUAUAGUACGAGAUAAUAUGUUUCACCAGGUGGCGCUGCUAUAAUACAAGAGAAUCUGUUUCACCAGAUGGCGCUGCUAUAUUACAAGAUAAUAUGUUUCACCAGGUGGCGCUGCUAUAGUACAAAAUAAUAUGUUUCACCAGGUGGCGCUGCUAUAUUACAAGAGAAUCUGUUUCACCAGAUGGUGCUGCUAUAUUACAAGAUAAUCUGUUUCACCAGGUGGCGCUGCUAUAUUACAAGAUAAUCUGUUUCACCAGAUGGCGCUGCUAUAGUACAAGAGAAUCUGUUUCACCAGGUGGUGCUGCUAUAGUACAAGAUAAUCUGUUUCACCAGGUGGUGCUGCUAUAGUACAAGAUAAUCUGUUUCACCAGAUGCUGCUGCUAUAGUACAAGAUAAUCUGUUUGGAAGUCCAGUUGCAGAGUAUUUAUUUUGACACUGACAUAUCCAAAGACAUGAGGGGUAUUGUGCAUUAACAGUGUUUUUUACAAUGUGCUUUUGUCAUAAGCCCUAGUAUGAGUAAUAUCUAUUUUUUAUUUUUAAAUGUUAUAAUGUUUCUAUAGUGAUUGUGAGUUUCAAGAACCUUCAAGCGAAGACAUUGUCUGAGAAAACUGCUGUUUCAUUCAGAGAAAGGCAAACAACCUUUUAUUCUCUGACCUCUUUCACUGGUUCCUCGGGUGGGCUUGGCCAUUGCUUCAAACUAUACGUACUCUAACCCGAUGAGUAAAACCAAGAGAUUACAUUUUACAGACACUCUUAUCUUGAGUGAUUUAUGGGAGCAAUUAG
rnacentral:lncRNA from 1 species